rnacentral:rRNA from 1 species
CAUGUCUUUUUGUUAUUAAUUUAAAGUCUGACCUGCCCAGUGAUAAUUUUAAACGGCCGCAGUAUUUUGACUGUGCAAAGGUAGCGUGAUAAUUAGUUUUUUUAUUGAAAGCUGGUAUGAAUGGUUGAACGAGAAGAAAGCUGUCUCAAUAAAAUUUAUUUUGAAUUUUAUUUUUAAGUUAAAAAGCUUAAAUUUUAUUAAAGGACGAGAAGACCCUAUAGAGUUUAAAAUUUUAUAUUUAUUUGGUGUUUAGUAUUUUAUUUAAAUAUUUUUUAAAGUUUUUGGUUGGGGUGAUUUAAAGAUUUAAUUAAUUCUUUAUUUUUUAAACAUUGAUUUUUGAAUUUAUGAUCCAUAUUUGUUGAUUAAAAGAUUAAAUUACCUUAGGGAUAACAGCGUUAUUUCCUUUAGAGUUCUUAUUGAAUUGGAAGAUUGCGACCUCGAUGUUGGAUUAAAAUUUAUUUUUAGUGCAGAAGCUAACAUAUUAAGUCUGUUCGACUUUUAAAAUUUUACAUGAUCUGAGU